rnacentral:rRNA from 1 species
AGAGUUUGAUCCUGGCUCAGAAUCAACGCUGGCGGCGUGCCUAACACAUGCAAGUCGCACGAGAAAGGGACUUCGGUCCUGAGUACAGUGGCGCACGGGUGAGUAACACGUGAAUAAUCUACCUCCGAGUGGGGAAUAACCUAGAGAAAUCUGGGCUAAUACCGCAUAACACUUACGAGUCAAAGCAGCAAUGCGCUUGGAGAGGAGUUCGCGGCAGAUUAGUUAGUUGGCGGGGUAAUGGCCCACCAAGACGAUGAUCUGUAUCCGGCCUGAGAGGGCGCACGGACACACUGGAACUGAAACACGGUCCAGACUCCUACGGGAGGCAGCAGUGGGGAAUUUUGCGCAAUGGGGGAAACCCUGACGCAGCAACGCCGCGUGGAGGAUGAAAUCCCUUGGGAUGUAAACUCCUUUCGAUCGGGAAGAUAAUGACGGUACCGAGAGAAGAAGCCCCGGCUAACUUCGUGCCAGCAGCCGCGGUAAUACGAGGGGGGCAAGCGUUGUUCGGAAUUAUUGGGCGUAAAGGGUGCGUAGGCGGUUUGAUAAGUCACAUGUGAAAUCUUCGGGCUCAACCCGAAGUCUGCAUGCGAAACUGUCGGGCUUGAGUAUGGGAGAGGUGAGUGGAAUUUCCGGUGUAGCGGUGAAAUGCGUAGAUAUCGGAAGGAACACCUGUGGCGAAAGCGGCUCACUGGACCAUAACUGACGCUGAUGCACGAAAGCUAGGGGAGCAAACAGGAUUAGAUACCCUAGUAGUCC